AGAGUACUCCCACCGUCCAGAAAUAUCAAAAUGAACAAAAGAGAAUGCAUCUAGACGUAUUUUAGUUUUAGAUACUUUCUUUUUUAUCCGUUUUGAUGAUAAGUAUUUUCGGACAGAGGGAAUACCUA
rnacentral:pre_miRNA from 1 species